rnacentral:lncRNA from 1 species
CAUAUAUCUAGUUUAUUUCGUUCUGUGGACAGGGAAGCCGGGUGGGGGUGUGUAAUACCCACCACGUGGCUGUCUUUUGCUGGAUGGCUUAAAGGCAUCAGUGCUAACUUUCAUAGCAAAGAUAUUGCAACUGCUGUCUAAUAAACGGAAAACCUAAGGCCCAGAGAUACCCAGUCACUGGCCCAAGGUCACCCUAGUAUCAGAUGCAGAUGGUUUGAAUGGAGCUUUGGUGCUUUCUAACCUUGUCCUGUUUGCUAUGUCAGGGCCAUCUCCAACAAGACUGUCAGAAAAAUGAGGAGCAGAGCCCAAGAUGAUUGGAACAUCCUUUGUGACCCGAGAACCCUGCUACUGUUCCCAGAGCUCUGCCCCUUGACCCUACUGAGGCUCCAACAGACUGGCACCAGAUAUCAUCACUUUGCCGCCGCCGCCGUCAUCAUUAUCAGUAACAAAUGAUAGAAUGCAUUUAAAUGGCAAAACAGUUACCUCAAUAUCACAGCAAGCAGAAAAAAGAAAUAACUUCCUGGGAGUCCUUCCAGAAUUUUCUUCAGUCAUGGACCUGGGGACAUAUAUUUAAAAUACGCCUGUUGGACCGCACUGGGAGCACCUCAUGUCUUCGGUUUUUCUCCCGCGACGUUUGCGGGACCCUGUCCCAGCACAGUUGCCUGGGAAGAGCAUGCCACAUCGGUUUUCCCGAUUUUCUUCCGCAUUCGCCGACACGUGAGUUCCACGCUGAGCACGUGGGUCCUAAGCAGCACUGCUAGAGAACCAGUUGCUGGCCCUGCGGUCUAGCUGCGGCGCUGGGGCUGCGGACUGCUGCCCUCUCGUGGCCAGUCAGGG